GUGGAUUAGAUACCCUGGUAGUCCACGCCCUAAACGAUGUCGACUAGUUGUUGGGGAAGGAGACUUCCUUAGUAACGAAGCUAACGCGUGAAGUCGACCGCCUGGGGAGUACGGUCGCAAGAUUAAAACUCAAAGGAAUUGACGGGGACCCGCACAAGCGGUGGAUGAUGUGGAUUAAUUCGAUGCAACGCGAAAAACCUUACCUACCCUUGACAUGCCAGGAACUUGCCAGAGAUGGCUUGGUGCCCGAAAGGGAGCCUGGACACAGGUGCUGCAUGGUCGUCGUCAACU
rnacentral:rRNA from 1 species